CUACGUAGGGGGCGAGCGUUGUCCGGAAUGAUUGGGCGUAAAGGGCGCGUAGGCGGCCCGGUAAGUCUGGAGUGAAAGUCCUGUUUUUAAGAUGGGAAUUGCUUUGGAUACUGUCGGGCUUGAGUGCAGGAGAGGUAAGUGGAAUUCCCAGUGUAGCGGUGAAAUGCGUAGAGAUUGGGAGGAACACCAGUGGCGAAGGCGACUUACUGGGCCGUAACUGACGCUGAGGCGCGAAAGCGUGGGGAGCGAACAGGAUUAGAUACCCUGGUAGUCCACGCUGUAAACGAUGAAUGCUAGGUGUAGGGGGUAUCGACCCCUCCUGUGCCGGAGUAAACGCAAUAAGCAUUCCGCCUGGGGAGUACGGCCGCAAGGUUGAAACUCAAAUGAAUUGACGGGG
rnacentral:rRNA from 1 species